rnacentral:rRNA from 1 species
GACGAACGCUGGCGGCGUGCUUAACACAUGCAAGUCGAACGGAAAGGCCCUGCUUGCAGGGUACUCGAGUGGCGAACGGGUGAGUAACACGUGGGUGAUCUGCCCUGCACUUCGGGAUAAGCUUGGGAAACUGGGUCUAAUACCGGAUAGGAACCAUCUUUAGUGUGGUGGUUGGAAAGUUUUUUCGGUGUAGGAUGGGCUCGCGGCCUAUCAGCUUGUUGGUGGGGUAAUGGCCUACCAAGGCGGCGACGGGUAGCCGGCCUGAGAGGGUGUACGGCCACAUUGGGACUGAGAUACGGCCCAGACUCCUACGGGAGGCAGCAGUGGGGAAUAUUGCACAAUGGGCGCAAGCCUGAUGCAGCGACGCCGCGUGGGGGAUGAAGGCCUUCGGGUUGUAAACUCCUUUCGCUAGGGACGAAGCUUUGUUGUGACGGUACCUAGAUAAGAAGCACCGGCUAACUACGUG